GUAUCCUGUCUGAAUAUGGGGGGACCAUCCUCCAAGGCUAAAUACUCCUGACUGACCGAUAGUGAACCAGUACCGUGAGGGAAAGGCGAAAAGAACCCCGGCGAGGGGAGUGAAAAAGAACCUGAAACCGUGUACGUACAAGCAGUGGGAGCACGCUUAGGCGUGUGACUGCGUACCUUUUGUAUAAUGGGUCAGCGACUUAUAUUCUGUAGCAAGGUUAACCGAAUAGGGGAGCCGAAGGGAAACCGAGUCUUAACUGGGCGUUAAGUUGCAGGGUAUAGACCCGAAACCCGGUGAUCUAGCCAUGGGCAGGUUGAAGGUUGGGUAACACUAACUGGAGGACCGAACCGACUAAUGUUGAAAAAUUAGCGGAUGACUUGUGGCUGGGGGUGAAAGGCCAAUCAAACCGGGAGAUAGCUGGUUCUCCCCGAAAGCUAUUUAGGUAGCGCCUCGUGAAUUCAUCUCCGGGGGUAGAGCACUGUUUCGGCAAGGGGGUCAUCCCGACUUACCAACCCGAUGCAAACUGCGAAUACCGGAGAAUGUUAUCACGGGAGACACACGGCGGGUGCUAACGUCCGUCGUGAAGAGGGAAACAACCCAGACCGCCAGCUAAGGUCCCAAAGUCAUGGUUAAGUGGGAAACGAUGUGGGAAGGCCCAGACAGCCAGGAUGUUGGCUUAGAAGCAGCCAUCAUUUAAAGAAAGCGUAAUAGCUCACUGGUCGAGUCGGCCUGCGCGGAAGAUGUAACGGGGCUAAACCAUGCACCGAAGCUGCGGCAGCGACACUAUGUGUUGUUGGGUAGGGGAGCGUUCUGUAAGCCUGUGAAGGUGUGCUGUGAGGCAUGCUGGAGGUAUCAGAAGUGCGAAUGCUGACAUAAGUAACGAUAAAGCGGGUGAAAAGCCCGCUCGCCGGAAGACCAAGGGUUCCUGUCCAACGUUAAUCGGGGCAGGGUGAGUCGACCCCUAAGGCGAGGCCGAAAGGCGUAGUCGAUGGGAAACAGGUUAAUAUUCCUGUACUUGGUGUUACUGCGAAGGGGGGACGGAGAAGGCUAUGUUGGCCGGGCGACGGUUGUCCCGGUUUAAGCGUGUAGGCUGGUUUUCCAGGCAAAUCCGGAAAAUCAAGGCUGAGGCGUGAUGACGAGGCACUACGGUGCUGAAGCAACAAAUGCCCUGCUUCCAGGAAA
rnacentral:rRNA from 1 species